GAGCUCUAUCCCGCAGCUAGAGCAGGAGCCAGGGUACUUCCAAAGGUAAGAAUUAUUAUUUUAUGCAAAAGCUUUACACAUUUUCCACAUAGAGAAUGAAGUCUCAGCAGUUUCAGCUGUGUGUUCCAGGUUCUUGCUUCUAACCUUAUGCAACGUUAGAACAGUAUGUGCAUACAGGAGAGGGAAAAAAAAGAGAAGGAAAAAAAGAAAGUUUGGAAAAACAGCCAGUGUGAGGCUUCUUGCUGAUUUUAAACUGCUCUGUGGUGAAGCAAUGGCUUCUUUGGUGACAGCAUACCUGCCUGAAGAGACUUUUCUUGCAGAGAAGCACAAAGUACCCAGAACAUUCUCCUCAAGACACGGACAGACCGUAGAGGGCCCAAGGGACGUCUGCAGAGAUGAUCGAAGGGUUGGAGAACCUGCCCUUUAAAGGAAGACUGAAGGAGUUGAGUCUUUUCACUCUGGAAAAGAGAAGUCUCAGAGGCAAUAAACACCCUGGCACCUUCUCUUGUGACCUUGCAUAGAGGAGAGAAUUCUCAGUAGCUACUGCAUCUUCAUGAUAUAAAAAGGCCUCCAAGCCUUAAGUUAAGUUACUUAAGUUCAGUGACUACUGACUGCACCAAUAGCUGAACAUAUGCAUGAGUGUUUUACUGUGUUGUGGGCUAGCUCUGGAAGGACUUACUGCUGGCAAUUUGAGGAAGGCAAUCUGUCUCCCUUUAGUACCUGCCAGUUGCUGAUCAGCUCUACGCAACUCUCCAGCUCCGGCAGGAAUUUGUUAGGUAUUUCCUGCAAAGGACUGAGAAAAAGCAGGAGCAGGGGUGACAAGAGAGACAGACGGGAUGAAAGGGACAGGCAGGAUGAAAGGGAAAGGCAAGAGAACCUGAAUCUGUGGGUGGCCUGGAAGCUGCCUCUGAAGGCAUAAGAGCCAAGCGUGGGAGAGAAAAUAUUUUGUUUGAUUGUUUGUCUGUGUUGCCUGCUGACAUUUUGGACAUGCCUGUGGAUAUCUUCUCAUGGUGGCAGUAUGGUAUGUGGGACUUUGUGCUGCAGAAUACGGGGAGGCAACUAACCUUUAAAAUUAAAAAGAUCAGCCAGUGAAGGAAAAACAACAGCACUGUGAUGUCUCCUAACAUUGACAUAGAACUUUGUUGACCAACCCAGCCUUUGACCAACCCAGUCUGAGGCCAUCAGGUGGUCCUGGUGCAUUCUUCUGUCAUUAAGAGUAUGGCUGGUAGCACAGGUCUGGAGGGGCCACUGGGAAUGGCCAGAACAGCCCUGUUUUAUGUGAGAAGAGCCCAGCCAGUUUAUGAACCUUUCAGCAAUGAGAGAAGGCCUCUUCACAACCUCAGGAGAAGGACAGACAUUUUCAGAAUCCUGGAGGUAACUCUGGGAAAGACAGGACCCAGAAAGCACCGACAGUAGCAUCUCCAAAGGUCCUUCAUCCUGCCAUAAAUCAGGGUAUGUCUACUAGAAAAGGGAGGCAAUGUCCAGACUUUAACCUUUAGCAACGUUCACACAACUUGUGACCACGUGUCAUAUAAUGUGGGCGUGAACCUUACCCUGUUCAGUCUUCAUUCUCCAUUCACGGGAUCUACCAUGCAAUGGGCUGCAGAACAGAGUGCCUUACAGACUCUGGGUCAGAGAUGUCUUCCAAACCUAGUAUUGAGAAAAAGGACCACAAUUCUACCUCAGGAAAGAAGAUGUAACUUGGAGGCUGAUCUGCAUUUUCUCUCUCCAAAGAUUUUUGGAGAAGAUACAAAGGGUGAAUAUCUGGAACUCUGUCACCUGGACACUUUCUUUACUUCCCAGGAAUCUUUCUUGCCAGUGAAAUAUUAGAAGCUAGCAAAGUCAUUCCAGUGACCCCACAAUGAGUGGGUGGAAGAGGAUGAAGACCAAACAAUGUCAAUGGAAUGAAUCGUGGAGGAGAGCCAGAAGCACCGCUCAUAUUUAGGAGAAAGUAGGAGUAUCCAGCUGUAUCCUGCUCACCCACUUUGAUGUCUUUGGCUGAAAGAGUGACGUGAUUCAGACCACCUACUCUCCAGGCCUUGGCUCCCUUGGUGGUCAAAGGGGAGAAGAAAUCAUGAACCUCGCACAGCACACCUGUACCAUGCCUCCUGCAUCCUCCUUCGCCGACUGUGCAGGGAUCAGGUGUUUGGCAGCUCUGGAGACUGUGUGGUUCCACGUGUUUGUCCCUUACUUGAUCUUUAGCACUGUAAUCUGGGACUGUGUCCAACUGAGGCACCAGGGGACACAGUUUGAGUGCACCUUGCUGUAAGCAUGCUGUGUUUCUGUAAACAUUUCUGAAUAGGAAUAGAUGAUGUGUUUGCUUCAUCUACAAGCCUUAGGCAGCAUCAGGACAUACUCCACUUGGCCUAGAAGGACCAGGUCUGGAGCUGGAUAUGUCUGAGAUAAAUCCAGGCAGCACUUCAACUUUCUUAGAUUAUCUUAGGCUUUUCAUGUUGCUUUGUUUUAAACUCUACUUGCUUUAUUUUCUUUUUCAAAUGAGAAAGCUAUUAGGAGAUAUGAGGAGGCUCAGAAAGCACAGCACUUUAGAGCUGAUGGUCACUUCACUAGUCAGACUUUGGACAUCAGAGUGGACUUCAAUUUCUGUCUUAAGCAUCUCCGUGUACUUGCAAGCAGAGUGACGGAAGUUUUAUGGAUCCCUCACUGCAAGAAAGACAUUGAGGCCCUGGAACAUGUCCAGAGAAGGGCAAUGAAUCUCUGAGGGGUCUGGAGCACAAGUCUGGUGGGAAGUGGCUGAAGGAACUGGGAUUGUUUAGUCUGGAGAAGAGGACGCUCAGGGGAGACCUCAUCGAUUUCUACAACCACCUGAGGGGAGGUCAUGGCAAGGUGAUGGUCAGCCUCUUCUCAAAGGUAACAGCGAUAGGAUGAGAGGAAAUGGCCUCAAAUUGUGCCAGGGGAGGUUCAAGUUGGAUAUUUGGAAAAAUUUCUCAGCAAGAGUGGUGUGGCAGUGGCACAGGCUGCCCAGGGACAUGGUGGAGUCACUGCCCCUGGGGGUGUUCAAGAAAAGGGUAGGUGUAGUACUUAGGAACGUGGUCAGUGAGAAUGGUGGGGAUGAGCUGACGGUUGGACUAGGUGAUCUCAGAGGUCUUUUCCAAACCUUAAUGAUUCUAUGGUUCUGUUCUAUGAUUCUAUUUUAAGUUGCUAUAACAACUACAGAUACCAAGAAAACCUAUAGUCAAAGGCAACUUAUCUGCUAGGGCCUGUCCAGCUGCUGGUUAUCAUCCCUGUUGCAUCUGGCUUUUCACAGUACAUCUGUUUAGCAUAAAUAACCUUUUUUUAUUGGAGUCCUAUGGUACAUCCAAACAAUGAACAGAAGAAAAAAGAGAAACUCUAAAUAAAUUUUACAGUGUCAGUAAGAGCAUUCACAUUAAGGGAAACUAUUUUGAGUGAAUGCCAGUCCUUAAUAAAUUGCUAUUAUUCUGGUGUUUGUACAAAGACCACAGGGGAAAAAAAAAGAAAAAAGAAAAAAAGAAGAAAAAAACCCACAGAAAUUGUUGAAAAAUGGAAACACUGAAUGUCAAUGCUCAAUCACUCCUUUUAAUCAUAAUACUUCUAGGCCGUUCUUCUAACAGAUCAAGUGCCAAGAUUUUUUUUUUUCUUUUGGUGUCUAUCUGAAAAGCCAGUGGCAUAAAACAAGACCAUGACUCACCUGGCCAAGCUCCCUUUCCUGAAUGCUCCCUAGAAGGCUGUCUUUCAACCCACAUUACCAACCCAUGGUCUGAGCAGGCUUUCUGGAACACUGGGGCUCUCCUGCACAGCUCAGAGCUCUACAGAAAUGGCUGUCGUGAUUCAGAACCUGCAAGCUUAGGCUCCAGAACAGGUGAGCCCUCCUGCAGUUGCCCAGCUGAUGUAUCACACUAAGAGGCAGCAAAAUUUCUUAAAGACAGCAGGUUUUGCUAAGUAUGCCCAUGCUUUUCAGUCACAGUUACUGACUCAAUUUUCUUGGUUUAAUUUCUUAGAAAUGGAUCUUUUCUGCCCAUUAGCCCGUGAGGAGCUCUGCUGGUUUGUUUUUGUAGUGAUCAGGCUAUUUUAUGUUUGCCUCUUUUACAGCUCCUGUGGGUGUCACUUGCUUAAUUCUUGCCUGUGGAUAUUCUGGGAAGCUGCUGUGUUUCCUUGGGAUUUCCACACCUGGAGGAGCCCUUUGCUGAUAAAAGCCAUUGGCACCAUAAGAGUAGGAUAAGCAAUGUGUGGCUGUGGAAACACAGAUGCUUCACCCGGUGUUGGAAAAUCAGGUGCUAGGCUGACUGUGACAGAUGCUUGGUGAGGGUCAUUUCCCAGCAGGCAGGAGCAGGGGAAUACUGGAAACAAUGCCAGAGGAUCACAGUAUCACAGUAUCACAGAGUUGUAGGGGUUGGAUGGGACCGCUGGAGAACAUCGAGUCCAACCCCCUGCUAAAGCAGGUUCCUUACAGCAGGCCACACAGGAAAGCAUCCAGGCGAGUCUUGAAUAUCUCCAGAGAAGGAGGCUCCACAACGUCUCUGGGCAGCCUGUUCCAGCACUCCAUCACCCUCAAAGUAAAGAUGUCUUCCUCAUGUUUGGAUGGAACUUCCUGUGUAAGAUGUGGCUCUCAAGUUGCAGUGGUGCUGCCACUCAUCCUUCGACAGUUUACAAAGCUUGCAAACACCUUAACUGCAACAGGUAGUGCUUUCUUGCUGGGGAGGAUUUGCUGAGCAAAGUGGCUGUGCUUCUCUUUGGUAGUGUGCAUGGCACUGAGCUCUGGGGAUAUCAGGCAUCUGCAGACCAGAGGAAGCUGGGCGUUGUUGCAGUGACACAGGCACUGGUAGGCCAGGACACUUUGAGAGGGACCAUGCAUUUGGAGCUGCACCCAGAAAGUCUGCAGUCCUACAGGAGAGGCAGCUUUGCCAGUGGAGGAGGCUGGCAGGAGAAAGGAUUUAACCCCCAAGAGCAUUUGGGAGCUGGUGCUCCUGGCCAUGGUUGGCUUUCCCUACCACAAGCUCACCCAGCCAAGGGAGCGGGCCCUGAGCCUGAACCAACUCUUUUGCCUUUCGGUACACCCAGAAGUGCUUUUAUAAUGAGAUUGGGCCAGAGCCCAGUGAGCCUGGGGGAAUUAGAAGCAUUGUAUGUGCUCACAUGCUUGCUUCAUGGGGCAAUUUUAAUGAGUAAUUGAUUGCUAAUUAUAUGUGCUGCUUCGUGGUGAAACAUCGUGGUACUUUGAUAUGGACCAGGAACCGAAAGUUGCAGUUGGGUUUAUUUUUGAAAAACAUUUGGCCUGCUGAUCUGUAUGGGAUAUUUUGUGCUUGAUUAAUUUAAUGUAUUGUCUUGGGUGAGUGUUGAUUUACUUGCUGAAUUCAAGAUCAAUUUUAAUGAAGCUCUUAGUGCGUGCUGGUUUGGGGACAUAGGGUGCCAUAUUAUUGGUUUGUUUAGAUUGCUUACUGUUUUGUUAGAUUUCAAUAAGAAAAUUUCUGGCAUAGUGUCAGCUUCCCACUUCCCUACAAUUGAGCAGACAACAACAGAGCUUAAACAGACAACAAACUUUAUUAAACUCACAUGUACAUACAUAACAAGUACAAACUUUGGAGCAAGCAAGUCUGACCUAUUUGCCAACAGCAACAAGAAAUAUGUUCGUUUUUAACUCCCAAACCAGGUGCAGUCUGAGAAACAGCAACUGCAGCUGAAGAGUCAGACUGGAAAUUAAUUUGGAAAAUAAAGUGCAGACAUCAUGGAGGAUAUUAAUGCCUUCUCUGUUCUUCACCACUGCUGUGUUCCUCGACCCUUUGUCUUAACGUGCAUCUGGGGCAGGUCAUAGAAGUCUUCUUGGGAAAAAGAUGGGACAGGGUUCAGAGUACUGAGAAAUGUCUUGUGGAGCUCUGUAUAAUGAAAGCAUGGAGCUGGGAUGCUGCUGGACUUCCAGCAUCCUUGGUGUGCAACUAGCCGUGGCUCUUCAAGGUGCUGAGGCCUUCCUGGGUACUACAAAUCCACUGUGGAAAUGUUCAAAUCCAAAAUGCUUGCAAUGGCAUUGCAACCAUGACUACCUGUAUUGUUAUAGCAGAAGCUCUGGCGUUUGUUUUUAUCUCUUCAGCAGGAUAUGACUGUGCCCCCUGGGUCCACUGUUGCAUGUUUGGAAGAGUAUCCUGCUUCAACAAAGCAGAAGUUAACUAGGACUUUGGAGUUGGUAUUGGUUAUGCUGGGAGCAGACCAAGGGGAAUAUUUGCUUUCCAAUUCCAGAGGAAACUAAAAGCGGAUCCAACUUGAAGGGAGUGUGGUGUGGGAGGACACGCGGAGACGUGGGAACAAGGAGACUCAGGAAUGCUGUUGGAGAACUUUUCCACUCUUAAAAUGUACGACCAUGGUUAGACUUGGUUAGCAGUAGAGGCAAAUCAUGGCAUUCCCACGACUGGAAAGUACCUGUGAGCUACACUCACCUUGGAUAAUGUCACUUGGCCCCUCCAGGCUAGACAAGUGGGUGGUGCUGGCAAGUACGUGAACAAUGUUUUUUCUUAUUCUGCAGGGAAGACACAUGCUAACUUGUCAUGCUGUCUUUAAUUUGAUCUUGGAUGAUACACAAGUCCAACUGUUUAAUGUCCCGUGCAAAAUAAAUAAAUAAAAAGCAAUUAUUAUGUUA